rnacentral:lncRNA from 1 species
UCGAUGAGUUAGUGUGCGGAACUUUUUUUAGUCAACACCUAAUGACAUUUUAUAGUGCGGAAGUCACGUGGGGUUUCUUGUCCAAUGGUUUUUUUAAUUACAUCAGCUUUCUUUUGAGUGGUUCAAAAUCGUCUGCUGUUUUUGAACGAGAGAGCUGGGAGAAAGUGGUGUCGUAUAGAGGUAGAAAAAAUGAAUUGUGUUCGUCGUGUGUAUACUCCUGAGGGAUUUAUUUUGAACAAAAGCUCUACAAUACCAUAUGUUCUUGCUGUUACGCAACUUUCUGGAGAAGUUUUGUACUUUUUACGCGAGUGCUGACUGAUGAACAACCGUCGGACGCACGUGAUUGUUGUGAGGAAAAUGGUGAUAAAUUCUUAAAAUUCUUGGAUAUUGUGCUUCGUACUGAGUGGACUAAAGGAAGAGAGUUGUUUGGAUAGAUUUGCUCCUGUUGGUUGCGACAGACCAUCCAUAGUUAUUCUCGUGUCUGCCGGCCUGAGCUACCUUUUCAGACACCAUCUGUUCAGCCAAGCAUGCAAUUUUUCUUCUUGCGCUGGCCCACGUCAGAGGGAAGCAGCCCUGAGACUGAAGGAUUAAACAGGAGGAGAAGAAAGGGACUGCAAAGAUUUGGAUGGCAGGAGAAAAUCUGUUAUACGAUGACAGAACCUCAUUUGAUUUAAGUGGAGAUACUUGAAGACUUCUGCCUUUCCAAACAGUUGAGGAUUAUUCACUCGGAGUUUGCAAAAGCACUGUAGGACCAGACGUCGAGGCAUGUGGCUCAAAGAUGUUUUUUUCUUCAUGGGGCAACACGGAGGAAUGUGACCAGUUGAAAGUGCGACCACAGCCAAACCAGAUGCCUGCCAGAAAAGAAUCAGAAAACGAAGCCAUUUUCAUCACCGCAGCUGGACUGAAUGUGCACUUACGAGGGCCUAGAAAGUUACUAAACAGGCAAGAAGGGAUGUGAUGUCCAUCUCAACCUGCCGCUAAGGAUAGGGUCGUGAAGACUGAAAUCAUCUCCAUUGGACUCAGUGGAUUAUUUUUUUUAAGACUGCAAACCUUUGAGACCUGACGCUAAGCAGCCGUCUCAAACACAAACAGGUACCAGGAUGCAAGAGUCGGUUCUUCUUUUCUGUCACAUAUCUGCUUUUAAUUAAAUGCACGCUUUAUUACACCUGGUUAUCUCAAAUAUUCGUGUCCCACCCACAUUCUUCUCUCUCGCUGUUCUCCCUCGCACAUGCUUAAGCCGGAUGUAGUCUCGGGGGGAAAAAAAGCAUGCAGAAAAUAAUGUGCAUAAGUUCUGCGUUUGUCAGCCGUGGAAAGGACAAAAAAUAAAAAAAAAAAAAUCAAGACGUACGACAGCAAAGAGCGGCGAGAUAAAUAUGUCACCCAGAAAGAGCUAGAGUUCUGCACGGAUAGCGGUGCUACUACCCCACCCACACCAUUUAGGGCGAGACCUGUGUAAAAGAGCUUGUGUGUGGCUCUCUAGUCCUCUCGCCCAUACCGAGCUCGUCAGAGCGGAAAUGACAUAUGGGUUUUGCGAAAGAACGUGAGAAAGUGAGAAGGAGACAUGAAAACACAGGUAGGCUGACUAAAACCAGUGCAGCUAAGAUUGCGGAGGUAGAGCUACGGACACAGGUAACGAGUCUCUGUGUGGAAGGGGUAGGGGUGUGGAAAAGUAGGUUAAAAAUGACUGAUGGGAUAUGUUACGCACCCCUUUCCUCGCCGGGAAAGAAAAACUUCACUGGCUGAAUGGACUGAUGGGACCUCAGCGGCUUUUGUACUGAGUUCACCCCCAAACCGUGCCUUAUCCGAUACGUUGCCAACUUUCUCGCUCCUCUAGUUUGUGUGUGUGUGUGGGUAAUACAAUCAUUAGAUGUAGCAGCAUAAACUUCAAACUACUGAACUUUUCAUACUGCAGAAAGCACGCAUACUGUUACACACAUACGUUACACUCACAACCACUUACUCUACUCACAGACAGGUGUUCAGAUGCGUAAACAUGAGCACACCUACACAUUGUCACGCGCCUGCGCGUGUGGAUGCAAACGAAGAUUACUCAAGGAUUUAUAACAAUUUUGUUGGAGGUAGGGUAAGAUGGUAGAGAUUAAACAUGACAGACUGUUAAACUGACGACAUUCUAUCUACACUGAAGUCAACUCAU